rnacentral:tRNA from 1 species
UGCCGAUGGCGUACACGGCCACGGCGAUAAAGCGGUUAUCGACCGCCAGAUAGUGCUCGGUCAGCCAUGAAAUGCUGGUUCCGACGCCCGCAGCGGUAA